AAACAAAACUUUACUUUUUUCUGCAUAACUUUACUUCUUCUUCAUGGUUCAGGCUUCGCCGAAAAUCGUUUGCUUCCACCGUCGUGAUCGUAUUCAUCGUCGUCUUCUUCAAUCGUCGGAGUCCUCUUCUACUUCGUUAUCUCUAGUUCUAGGGCAAAUAGUUUUGGUAGAAGAUGAAAACUGAAACUUCUUUUUCUAUUUUUUUUACGGUACUUUUUUUUUAAUACAAAAAUAUUAACAUAAAAUGGUUUUGUUUUUAAAAAAUAAAGAUUCUAUUUUUCUUUAAUGAAAAAAGAUUUGAAAAUAAAUCUUUAAAAUUUUUAUUUUAAAAAUAAAUUUUAUUUGGG
rnacentral:lncRNA from 1 species